CUCAGCUGCUGCUAGGUCAUGGGAGGGAGCGGAUGUGACAAAGCCAUUGCAAGAUCCCGGCCCAGCCCCCGAGUGAAUCGAUGCCUUGCAGUUAGGGGAGGCAGACAAGGACCCCGAGGAGCUGCCAGAGGCCGAGUACUCCGAGGAGACAAGGAUCUUUGGACCAUGGGGCCCUACACCCGACUGUGUUAACCAGGUGAAAUAGCUGAAAAAGCUCCUGAGGGAAUCUUCAGGACUGCACAGUGAAGCACUAUGUGCUGCUCUCAUCAAAGGCAGAUGUAGAUCCACACCCUUCUUCCUAGCUCGAUUGUAUGGGAAAUAAAUUUUGUUCUAAAAACUGCUCAUCAAGGGACAAAGAGGAGCAAAGGGCACAGCCACUGAUUUAGCCUUCAUGGAGGCCACAGGCAACCGCCAGCCGGCAGCACCAAACGGCUGCAGAAAUGGAACAGCAGCAGCCACAGCAUCUCAGUUACAUGAUGCUAUCAAAAAAGGUUCAGUAAAGACAGUCCGGCAGCUGUUGGAGGAAGGUGUAGAUGUCAAUUCCAAGGUAGAAGGUGGUUGGACACCUCUGCACAGCGCUGUACAGGCUGAACAGGAGGAGAUCGUUAACCUUCUGCUGGAGCAGGGUGCUGAUCCACAUGCCAGAAAGGACAAUGGUGCCACCCCCUUUAUUAUAGCAGGCAUAGUGGGGAAUGUGAACCUUUUGGAGCUCUUCCUUUCUAAGGGGUCAGAAAUAAAUGAGAAGGAUAACAACGGCUUCACAGCCUUUAUGGAGGCUGCUUGGUAUGGGAAGGAGAAGGCCUUGAAAUUCUUGUAUGAGAAUUUCUCAGAUGAGAAAGAGAUGGAUGUGAAUUUGGGCCGGAUGGUCAGUGCACAACAAAGACAAGUGUACAAAGGCGGAGAAACAGCCCUGAUGGAUGCUGCCAGGAAUGGCCACCUCUCAGCUGUGAAAACCCUUGUGAAAGAGAUGAGAGCCAGCGUGCAUGCCUGUGAUAACUUUGGCAGGAACGCUUUGAUCCAUGCAUUACGGCUGCCUCUGAAGAAGAACACCAUACUUAGACAAAACAAGAAUAUAGAGCCGAUAGUCUCCUUUCUGCUGGACUGUGGCGCUGAUGUUACUGGAAGAGAUGAAAAUGGGAAGACUUCGCUCAUCCUGGCAGCAGAGAGGCAAAGUCAGGAUUUGGUGGAAUUGUUACUGAAGACAGGCAAAGUUGACAUUAACGCCAUGGGCAAUGAUGGCAAAACAGCGCUGAAGAUAGCUGUGGAGCACGACCAUGAGGAAAUAGCCAAGCUGUUAUGUGAGAACGGAGUCAGGGCUGAUAGUACUGACAUUUUUGCGGCCAAAGAGAACUACAACAAUGAAAUGGUGGCACUGCUGCUCAAAUAUGGUGCUACGGCUACUAAUAAUCAGCCUCCUAAAGAGUGGGCACCCACCAGCAAACGCUGGGGAGAGCAACUAUGGUGUCUUCACAGUAUAAAUUCCCCUCAGAUUGGAAAACUCAACAUCAUAUUUGAUGAGUAUUACCGCAUUGAGAGCACCUCUGAAGGAGGCAUCUACCUGGGAUUCCAUGCGGGGAAAGAGGUGGCUGUGAAGAGAUUCCUUCUUGGCAGUGAUAAGGCUGAACGAGAAUCCAUGUGUCUCAGUCACUGCCACAGCAACAGACAUAUGGUAAAACUUUUUGGGACUGAGACUCAUGGCAACUGCCAGCUCUUCUGCCUCUCUCUUUGUGAGAGCAACCUUGAGGAUCAUCUGAGCAAAUCUGCACAGGCAGUCAAUAACCGUGACAUCCUCAAGACACUCUUGGAAGCAGUGAGAGAUCUGCACUCUUUGGAAUUAGGCCACGGGGAUCUGCACCCACGUAACAUUUUGAUAGAUGCGGAUGAUAAAGUUCUCCUUGCAGAUUUUGAUAAGAGUAGCAGUUUUGCUGAAGGUCAAAGGGAACUUAUAAUCAAAGAAGACUUGGAGUCCAUUGGAGCCGUGCAUGCAAGGAGCUUUGGAGGAAGGGGGCUGCCAAGUGCCAGAUCUAUUGUUAGGAAGUUGCUUUGCCCAGUGGGGGUAGGAGAUGAAACGGAACUCCAUCGGUGGAACAAUGCACUCGGAAGGUUGGUCCUAUAUGUUGUAACAAGGGGUGAGGUCCCUUUUGAUAGACCUGAUGGAGAGGAUGUGGCUGCAAGAUGUCCAACAGAUUUGCAGGGUCACUUGGAGAUUGAAGAUCUCAUAAGAAGUUUGGUCUCCCCCCAUGGAGGAAACUCAGUUCAGUUAGGAGACUUGCUCCACCACCCCUUUUUCUGGACCCAUGAGAGCAGGUUUGAGUUUCUUGUGGACGUUGGGAAUAAUCCAGACAUCGAAAAAUACAAUGCUGGGAGUCAGAUUGUGAAAGCUUUGAAUUGCAAUAAGGCAACAACUGAGAAGCACUUCUACCAGUGGACUAAGAAGAUUGAUCAAGCUGUUCUGGAAAACAUGAAAAAGAAACGCCACUAUAAAGAUACUGUCACUGACCUGUUGAGGUUCAUCAGAAAUGUGGGGGCGCACUAUGGUGCAAAACCGCAAUGGUUCAAGGAAAUAAUCCAGAACCCAUCACAGUAUUUUGUUGACCGGUUUCCAGAUCUGACAUUUUAUGUCUAUGAGCAUUUGUGCCGUGUGGACAGAGGCUGUUCUCCUUGAACAUCAGGCACAGUCAAUGAAACAAGAUGAGAGGACGAAUGAAUAACAGAGGGAACCUCCUCCUGACCUAGGUUCUGCUGCAGCAGUGGUGAACAACAGGGUUACAGUAUCUAUAUCAUUACCUGAUGUUUCACAAAAAAAACUCCCCUAGACAACUGUGCAGCACUUUACCUGGAGGAAGAUUCCUUCCUGACCUGAUCCAGUUUACACCAUGAAGCAUGACAGCUGCCUGAUCUCUGCAAAUACUCACCAAACAAAGGUAUUUUAAUAUCAAACUUUGCCUCUCAUACAGAACCACUGGUGAGCCGCUACCUGAGGCAUUAGAGGAUGAGCAAGGCUGAGAGGACUAACGUGCAGCAUAUGUGACAGGGCAAACACAUCAGAGAAAGAGAGAGGAUGAGGAAGAGGCAGUCUCAGCUUACCCCCACUGAAGAUACUGGAUGUUCUAGGCGAUGCCUUAGCUUGGAGUGGAGAAAGAGAUUUUUUUAUCUUCGGGUACCUGCGGAAGGACUCCAUUGCCUUCCAGUUACAGUAUCUGUAGGGGAAAUGCUAAGGUCAAGGACAGACAGAAAAUCGAGUCUAACACAUUUGAGGAAUACAGCCAGCAAUAAUGUCCCUUUUGGACUCACAUUUUCUUUGGAAGGAGGUAAAGCGAGAGAGCGCCUGGCACCCUCCUCUGCAUCCCCCUCGCCCAGCCCAAAAGAGAGGGAUUUUUACCUUUUCCAGAAGUGUAUCAGAACUGGGAAGACGUUGAGCAAGGCCAUGUGAUAGAGGCUGCGAUCCAGGACCCCUUUGGAAGCUAAAUUCCGGAUUGAAUCUUUCUGGCCCUCAGAAAUGUUCACCUGGCCACAGAACAGAGACCACUUCACAAAUGGGGCUUAAGGCAUGGGUGGCAUCCCUAAUGAAUCCCAGACAGAAACACCCCUAGUAACUCCCCCGCCACCUCGCCCUCGCACCUUCCAGGAGUCUGCAUUCCACUUCGAGAGCCCUGGUCACAGUUCAGAGCUCUCUGAGCAGGGUCUCGGUUUAUUUCCUGGCUAACUAGCCAAAAUCCAAAGGAAUCCCCUUUCUGCCCCUUCCCUCACCAUGCUUUUAAAAGGGAUUUAAAAAGAAAGGUGGUUAAAACAGCAGUGUGCCAUGGGGAGGUGCAGCAUAACGGGGAGGGAGAGUAUGCGUGAUCUCUAAUGAAUACAGACCAAAAGGCUCUUCUCUAUUGACCGUAAAGCCAGCCACUGUGUCUCAGCCCUGACCAGAGGGGCCCAUGUCUAGGUGGUCGUUCGGUCGCCAUGCCCACUCACUCACUCUCUCUGGAUUACCAGUUAGCAUCAGUUGUGAGAGUGGUUUUUGGUGAUCAUGGACACUCUCCAUUAGGACCUGGAUUGAAGCUAAUAACUUACUUUGCACAAUGCCAAAGCCAUCAGAACUGCAGUAUGUUUUGCUGGAGCAGAUUGAAACCUGGGUCCCAUUGUUAAUUCCCUGAGCCAGACACCUCCCAGUCCAUAAGGCUCUCAGGCGAUGAUUUGCAGGCCCCAGGCCUCCCUGGUAGUGAGCGUGCAGGGCGUUACAGCGUCCUACCCGCAGUUUAGGAGGGACUUCAGAGUUCAGGAAGAGUUUGGCGAUCGUGGCCACUUUGGUCUUAAGAAAGGCGACGUCCCUCUCGGUGUACAUCCCGCAGGCUGCGAGCACUACGGCCGAAUCAGCCAGGUGACAAAACCUGCCAGGACAAAUGGAAGGGGACCUCUAAGAGAGAAGCUGUGGCUGUCUCCUCAGACUCUGAUACAACAUGUGGCUUUUAGCUGAGAUUUUCUAAGCCACGUAGGGGAUUUGAAUGCCCACUUCCCACUAACAUUCACUCCCUGCCCUGUGGCACAUGUCUUCCUCCGAAGAGGGUGUGAUGGGAUGUAUAUGCCACACUGGUAUAGAAAGGGCUAACUGGAGCCAGAGAGCAAUGAAUGCAUCCAUUUGCACCUGGAGGGUGGGCCAGGUCCAACUAAAGAUGAAGCCUAACUGGGAAGAAUCUGGGAGUUACAAUGGGGUGAAGGAACCACAGUGAGAAGGACUUUCUGCUACCCUGGAAGGGGUGGGACUGGAUGUGGCCUGGCCGGAGGGCUGAGUCACCGGAAGAGGCAGACCACCAUUAGGCUGGAACAGCUGUCCUGCAGUAGGUACCAGACCAGAGCCUGCUACACCACACCUGGCCAGGCCCAGCAGUGAGUCACUCUAUGACAGAGGGGAGUGGGGGAUGGCAUAAGGGUUCCCGGAUACUUUCAUAGGGGCAACUACACCUCAGCAGAGGGAUUGUCUUGUGCUUCCCACUCCUCCCAUUGGCCAUCAUGACAUCCCCGUGGCAGCUCCAGCAGGAAAAUACCAAAUGUCAGACCAGGAGCAGCAGCCAGUAGUGUGUAACUAGCCCGCUCUCUGCAGGCCACCAGCAGUGCACGGGUCACAGUUAGGGUAAUGCAAUGCAGACACAGACAGCAUGGCUUGACUUGUCCCCCCCCUUAAACAACCUCCUGCCCUGGAGACACACAGCUUGUGUCACUGCCAUUCCUGUGCUGGCUGGGAGAGUGAAAACAAGCAUCCUUCAGUGUUCUGUUACUGCUGCUCCCUGAUCAGCCAACAGGUGUCGCUGCAGAGCACUCAGCAACAGGUACUCGUUCACACCAAGACUCCCUUCUGGCUGUGCAAAGGGGGCUUCUUCGUGUAAAGAACCAGGCCUUUGCCCUGGGAGCAGAGUGCAGUACCUCCCAGCACCACAUCGCUGCAGUGUAAGCAACAGAUCAACUGAGUGCCCAGCAGACUAGCGUGCGGUGCCGCUCUGUCUGAGCCAGCCCAUCAGGCCAGGGAUUUUAUCCCUGCAAGACAGGAAGAACCCCAAGGUAUUUGAAACAAAUGGACAUGGCGGGCAGGCUUACUUCUCAAUCUCCAGGUAAAAACUGAGGUCGUUGACCAGGAAGUUGAUGGAAAUGUGCCGCUGGUUAAAGAGCCGGCGCUUCACCUGUAUCACCUCCACAUCCUCUCCCAUGCUGGCAGCCGGCACAGGUUGGCGGGGGCUAGCCACGGCAAUGGUACUGCGCAUGGAGCUACUGGGCAAGUCUGAGUGAGGACAAGGGAAGACCUGAGCAACUCAUCUCCCUCAAGCUCCUGCGACCCAGAUGUUGGGUAAAUUGAUAGAGAGACAGUGCGUGCAUGAGACGGGGAGGUGACAAGGCCAGCACUAAUGGGAUUGAUCCACACCUCAUUUCAAUCCCAUGUGUGUCUCUCUAUCAAUUUACCCAAUCCCCCAACAAUGCAAUCCUGUACCCUAACCCCCACCUAAAGUGCUCUACUCUUCUGUCUACAGUUUGCUGCUGGUGUCUCUGGCCCUGUAAUCCUCAACCUGCACACUUCCCCCAGUACACACAGGGCUCGUCCAGAGCCCUUCUAGUUCACAUUACUCUCUAAUCCCCAUGCCCCUCCUGCCCCCCAGGGCUACCCUAAAUCACAAGGAAAGAACUUACAUUAGUGCUACACGCUAAACCACCACGUGGAGGAAACAGUCACAGCUGAAGCCUGGUACUAAGUCACUGCACAGACUUACUGAACAUACAAGAAGCAGCUGGUGGGUUCUGUCUUCAGAGGAGCUGAAAACGUACAGCGUAGGCAGCUUCCAGGGGGGUUGUGCAGUACAAUUAGUGCUUUAAACAGUUAGGACCUCAUUUUUCAUUAUAGUGCCUAAUGGGUGCCUAAAUUAGGCUGCCCAGCUCCUCACGUGAGUGCUUAAAUAGCACGAGCUGCAUAAAAUGCCACUUUGAGUGACCAACUGCAGAGCUGCCUGCCCUGGUUAGCAAAUGGGAUUUUCCCUUCUCCAGUGGCUAAUUUCUUGCUGGGUUGGAGCAGAUUCUUGCUAUAGAGAGAACAACCCAGCUGCUUCACUCCCUCUGAGCCAGCUGGUAUCCUGGCCUCUUAUAUGCCCCCAACAGAGAACUCUCGAGUAAGAAAAUGACGGCAGGGGACAAGCUGCCAGGUUUCUGCUAUUGCCUUCCCUAGAGUCUGCUCACCCCAGGAGGCAACAAUGGUAGGCGGGAGAAUAAGCGGGAUCUGGACAUACUUUCUUUUUGAUUUACGAGCUCCCUCCGGAGAAAGUCCUCAAAGUCUUUGCGGGAUUUCCGAUUGUUCAUCUCCCUCCGGAACUUGCAGAUGCUCCUGAUGAAAGCCUGGAGCACGAACCACACUCUCUUCUGUGGGCAAAGCGCAUGGAAGGUGUCAGCCUAUGUACAGCACUGGGAGAGGAAGCAAGGCAGGGAAUGGAGGCAGUAAAUAACUAUGGGCCUGAUGGGAAUGCCUUCAGACUAAUUAUCCUGAUUAUUCCCUGGGAUCUGUGCCCAGGCAGACCUGCCACCCUGAACUAAUGCACCAAAAGGCAUCCACACAUUAAGUGGAAUUACUGACCCCACUGAGCCACAGUCAUUGCUUUUCAGUGUCACUGGGCUUCAGUCAGAACCCUGGGGGAUGUUGCCGUUAAAUGAAUUUCCUGAUGAAAGUCAGUGGGGCUCUGCAUGGGCACAGGGGUCUGUUUGCACAGAUGAGCUUACAGCCCAGGGGCUGUAGACAUUAACUCUCUCAUUCUGGACAAAGAUAGUUUGUUCUGCAGCCUUGCAUGACCCCUCGACCCACUGGCAUCAACAUAUUCACAGAGAAAAGCAGCCCCUCCCCAUUCUUGGGCCUAUGCUCUGGGAUCUAGCUGGGGUAUCAGCAGGUGGAGUGCAGGCCAUCCUUACUUACCAGCUUGUCCUUUAUGAAGGAUCCCCUUCCCUGCCUCGUGACCAAGUGAGUGUCAAAAAUAUCGCUCCCAGGGUACAAAUCUUGGUACAUCUUAAACCUGCCGGGAUGGGAGAGUAUUAGAGAAAGCAGAAAGAACGAGGAGUACUUGUGGCACCUUAGAGACUAACAAAUUUAUUUGAGCAUAAGCUUUCGUGGGCUAA